CCUACGGGGGGCAGCAGUAGGGAAUAUUGGUCAAUGGACGCAAGUCUGAACCAGCCAUGCCGCGUGCAGGAAGACGGCUCUAUGAGUUGUAAACGGCUUUUGUACGAGGGUAAACGCAGAUACGCGUAUCUGUCUGAAAGUAUCGUACGAAUAAGGAUCGGCUAACUCCGUGCCAGCAGCCGCGGUAAUACGGAGAAUUCAAGCGUUAUCCGGAUUUAUUGGGUUUAAGGGGUGAGUAGGCGGUCGGAUAAGUUAGAGGUGAAAUCCCGAGGCUCAACUUCGGAAUUGCCUCUGAUACUGUUCGUCUAGAGAGUAGUUGCGGUAGGCGGAAUGUAUGGUGUAGCGGUGAAAUGCUUAGAGAUCAUACAGAACACCGAUUGCGAAGGCAGCUUACCAAGCUACUUCUGACGUUGAGGCACGAAAGCGUGGGGAGCAAACAGGAUUAGAUACCCUAGUAGUC
rnacentral:rRNA from 1 species